rnacentral:tRNA from 1 species
GCCGGGGUAGCUCAACGGUAGAGCAAUCGCUUCGUAAGCGAUAGGUUGAGGGUUCGAAUCCCUUCCCCGGCU